rnacentral:antisense_RNA from 1 species
CUUUAUGGCGGCUGUGCGUGGGAGGCCUUGCGCCUGCCGAGUUGCUUGUUCUCGGAUUCCAACCUGCGUACAGCUGCCAUCCUC